AUGUAUGUGGAAGAAGAGCUACACUGGCAUCAAUUCUCUAAUGAGAGGUGGCUUCUGAAAGGAGACAAUAACACUGGUUUCUUCCAUAAAGUAGCCAAUGGCCGUCGUAGGAAAAACUCCAUGAUCUCCCUGGAGUGUGGGUCCACUAUUAUUGAGGGCACUAAAAACCUUCUGGUCCAUGCUACUGAAUACUAUAAAUCCUUAUUUGGUCCAGCUCCUGGCAACUUAUGUCAGAUAGAUGCUGCUCUAUGGUCUCAGGAUGAGAUGAUUACUCCUGGUGACAAUGAGGAAUUAACUCGACCUUUUUCGUUAGAAGAAAUCAAGAAAGCUUUGUUUAGCAUGAAUUCUAACCGUGCCCCUGGUCCAGAUGAUAUUCCUAUAGAAUUCUAUCAACACUGC
rnacentral:rRNA from 1 species